CGGAGUGUAGCUCAGUCUGGUAGAGUGUUCCGUUUGGGGCGGAAAAGUCGCAGGUUCAACUCCUGUCACUCCGAC
rnacentral:tRNA from 1 species